UACGUAGGGUGCGAGCGUUAAUCGGAAUUACUGGGCGUAAAGCGUGCGCAGGCGGUUUUGCAAGCCGGAUGUGAAAUCCCCGGGCUCAACCUGGGAAUGGCAUUCGGGACUGCAAGGCUGGAGUGCGGCAGAGGAGACUGGGAAUUCCGGUGUAGCAGUGAAAUGCGUAGAUAUCAGGAGGAAUACCGAUGGCGAAGGCAGGUCUCUGGGCUGACACUGACGCUCAUGCACGAAAGCGUGGGGAGCAAAC
rnacentral:rRNA from 1 species